rnacentral:misc_RNA from 1 species
GAGCGUAGCACGCAGAGCGCAGCGGGCUGAUAAAGACAAGUACCCGCAAGCCCCUGCUGGGCGUGUGUCAAACCGUCAAACCCACUCAAUCUCUCUCUCGUCGCCAUGGCCGCGGUAGCUGCGGUGUGGGCGCUGCUGCUGUCUCUGCUGCAUUCCAGUCAUGCGCUCAUCGGCGGCCACGACGCCGCCCCCGGCCAGUUCCCGUACCAGGUGCUGACGCGCGGCCUCGACGAGGACCCUCUGCGCAACUUCGGCACGGGCGUGCUCAUCCACCCCGAGUGGGUGCUCACCAACGCGGACAGCGUCGCCGACUACGUGGGCUUGAUGGUGACGCUGGGCGUGGUGGACAGGGACAGCCAGGACGCCUCCCGCCAGGACAUCCCCGCCCUCAACGUGUUCGUGCACCCCAAGUGGCCCGGCCAGUGGGUCUGGCUCAAGUCGCACCUCAACGACAUCGGGCUCGUCCAGCUCAGCAGGCCCGCCACGCUCAACGACUUCGUGCAAGUUGCCUACCUGCCCGAGGAGAACUGGUACAAGGGGUACAGCGGCAUGGCCGCCACCGUCGGCGGCUGGGGGCACCACCUCACUGACGGGUUCGGCUACAGGGACAUGCAACGCAUGCAGUGGGAGACGACCACCGUCAUGAGCUUCCCGACGUGCUACCGGCUCCGCUUAUUCGUGUCCGAGCAUACCGGCUCGCUCAAGACGAACCACAUUUGCGCCGACACCAAGGGCUCGGGCCCCUGCGACGACGACGGCGGAGCGCCACUUGUGGUGAGGGACGCCAAGAAGAGGCCCGUCGUGGUGGGCCUCUUCACCACCGCGAUCACCCACGGCGAGCCCUGCCAGUCCAACUACCCCUCGGUGUACACGCGCGUGGCGGCGCACCUCGACUGGAUCAGAAGCGUGGUCAACGAGACGCUGUCUUGAGUGGAGCUCCACUGGACCCGCAGUCCCGCCUCGCUCGGACUUCCCUGUCCACUUCCACACAGACUCCCCUGGGACUUCCCAGGGGACUUCGACCGACAUGGAUUGCAAUUGCAAAUAAGACUGACUAGCAAUUUUGUAAGUUUCAGAUCUCAGUCCAAGGAGACCCAUGUCGGACGUGGAAGCAUCAACUGAACAAAGAUGAAAGUAAUUAAGGGGCCAGCACUGCAGUCAUCUUGAAAUGAAAUAUUAUGCCUACUUGUAUGCACCUACCAGAGAGACGAGAGGCUGCAGCAACUAUCCCAGCCAUACUUGAUGAAAUUUCAUCACACAAUGCUAUGUGCAACACCACAAUAGGUUCAUCAGGCAUACUGUUGUGUGUGUACACAAAGCACCUUCUAUAUAAUCCAACUCGACGCUUCAAGUCAGUCCAACUCCGCACAGGAUGUACAGCUUCAUAUUCAGAUAUCUGAACAAUACAUUUAAUAAGUAUCAAAAACACCAAAUAAGCCAUUGAAUUGCAUAAUAAAGACCUACCUUCUGAAGCAUUUCACAAGAAGAUUUCCAAGUCACUCUCUCUACUGAAAGAAAUCCAACAGAAAACCACAUUGACAACAAUUCACGAAGAGUGCUGUUUAGUCUUUGCAUUGGAACCAGGGCUGGAUCAAAGGCUUCUAGCUGCGAUAAUAGAUCCUGUCGAAUAAAGUGCUCGUAAUAAAAUUGUGUCAAAUAUACUCCAAA